rnacentral:rRNA from 1 species
AUUGAACGCUGGCGGCAGGCUUAACACAUGCAAGUCGAGCGGAGAGAGGUAGCUUGCUACUGAUCUUAGCGGCGGACGGGUGAGUAAUGCUUAGGAAUCUGCCUAUUAGUGGGGGACAACAUUUCGAAAGGAAUGCUAAUACCGCAUACGUCCUACGGGAGAAAGCAGGGGAUCUUCGGACCUUGCGCUAAUAGAUGAGCCUAAGUCGGAUUAGCUAGUUGGGGGGGUAAAGGCCUACCAAGGCGACGAUCUGUAGCGGGUCUGAGAGGAUGAUCCGCCACACUGGGACUGAGACACGGCCCAGACUCCUACGGGAGGCAGCAGUGGGGAAUAUUGGACAAUGGGCGGAAGCCUGAUCCAGCCAUGCCGCGUGUGUGAAGAAGGCCUUAUGGUUGUAAAGCACUUUAAGCGAGGAGGAGGCUACUUUAGUUAAUACCUAGAGAUAGUGGACGUUACUCGCAGAAUAAGCACCGGUUAACUCUGUGCCAGCAGCCGCAGUAAUAC